GAUGAACGCUAGCGGCAGGCUUAACACAUGCAAGUCGAGGGGUAUAGUAGCAAUACUAGAGACCGGCGCACGGGUGCGUAACGCGUAUGCAACCUACCUUGAACAGGGGGAUAGCCCAGAGAAAUUUGGAUUAAUACCCCAUGGUAUAUUGAUGUGGCAUCACAUUAUUAUUAAAGUUCCAACGGUUCAAGAUGGGCAUGCGUCCCAUUAGCUAGUUGGUAAGGUAACGGCUUACCAAGGCGACGAUAGGUAGGGGUCCUGAGAGGGAGAUCCCCCACACUGGUACUGAGACACGGACCAGACUCCUACGGGAGGCAGCAGUGAGGAAUAUUGGUCAAUGGGCGCAAGCCUGAACCAGCCAUGCCGCGUGCAGGAUGAAGCAUCUAUGGUGUGUAAACUGCUUUUGUACGGGAAGAAACCCUUGCUUGAGAGCAAGAUUGACGGUACCGUAAGAAUAAGGAUCGGCUAACUCCGUG
rnacentral:rRNA from 1 species